CUUUAGAAAAGUCGCUUAUUAUAUAUAGAGUAAAGCUAAUGAAUUGUUUAUCCAUAUCAAGUCCAUAUCUACAAAAAAAAAGACAAUCACUGUCUCGAAAAUUUUCAACUAUCCUAUCUUAGAUACAUAAAAGUCUUGUCACCAUAGUCACAAAUCGUUACAUCUAAAGUUUAAAAUAUGUUAAGAUCUUAUCAUUUCACCAACCAUCAAUGGUUACAAUGAUGUGAAAAUUUAAUGUCAAUUUUAUCUCAUCAAAAUUAUUGCAUGUUCCAUCAUCUGUAUAUACUUCACCAUCAUCCUUCUUUGCAUGUUCAGCACCGUUUUUCAAAGUUCUGUCCCACAACCUUCAAAAAAUGCAUGUUCAAGCUAUCCGGCACGUUUUCUGCAUGUCAGCACAUCUAUCUGGACCAGCAUGAUGGAACUAUCCGGGAACUAAAAGGCGUAAGGCAUGUGAAGCACGUCACUCUAAGGAGAAAAUUUAAAAAAAAUAGUUCAAAUUUAAAACUUAUUUCGUUUCAAUUUCCCAUUUUCCAGUCGCCGCCCCCAAGUAUCAGAUUUUGGAGCCCCGCGAAGGCUACGUCCCCGUCUACAUCCGGUACGGCAAUCAGCCACUGUCCGAAAUCAAUCCUGCCCUGGCAGCGGCCUUCCAUGAGCCGGUGUCCCGCGUGAAUCGCGCCCGAUUGGCAAGGCAACUGCAAGGCGACGAUCUAGUAAACAACACCUCCAGCAACUCUACCUCCAUAUCGGCAUCGGAUGAGCACCGAGUGAAGCAAUUAGUUGCUGCUGAGUUAGCCAAACAAACCCGGCCGUGAUUAGAAACUUAAAUCAAAUGUUUUUUUUUUUUCAAAUCAGCUCUCCUGUUUUUAACUAACUUACAAACGCUACAACCAAGUGGAGUAGUUACCCAUCGUGUUACGAUUUCCAGUGCUGAUAAACCUUGUUAGAAAAAUAAAAUUUUAUUAGAACUACCAAUAAAUCCAACCGGAAAAUA